GGGCACUCUAGCGAGACUGCCGGUAAUAAACCGGAGGAAGGUGGGGAUGACGUCAAAUCAUCAUGCCCCUUAUGACCUGGGCUACACACGUGCUACAAUGGUUGGUACAACGAGUUGCGAGUCGGUGACGGCGAGCUAAUCUCUUAAAGCCAAUCUCAGUUCGGAUUGUAGGCUGCAACUCGCCUACAUGAAGUCGGAAUCGCUAGUAAUCGCGGAUCAGCACGCCGCGGUGAAUACGUUCCCGGGCCUU
rnacentral:rRNA from 1 species